UCAGAAUGUGACUAUCUUCUUGUCAAUGGAGGAUAGCUGCUCCAGGCUUUUACCUGUGAUGUCUUCCUCCCAAACUCAACCAGAGGGCAGGUCCAGCAUAAAGUCACCAUGCCAGCUUUCAGAGGGCUACAGCAGCAGUAGGACCUCAGCUGGUUAUGACAAGCUUCCACGACAGCAAAACCAGGCCACAGAGUCCUGAAGCUGAUAGGCAGUCAUUGCUAGGCUCCUUUCCAAGUCCAAGACCUCGUCAUAGGAACCUCUUGGCCUGCCAAAGUGCUGCCUCAAACCUUGGAAGUCCAGAUGUUCUUGUUGAUCAGGUUCUCCAUGAGGAGAAAGGGAAAGCUCCACCACCUACUGGUCCUGAGAUGGCUCAUGUCAAGGGGAGGAUGCAGAGGAAGAGGCUGUCUGACUGUAAAAGGAAUG